rnacentral:tRNA from 1 species
GGUUGUAGCUUAGUGGUAGAGCACUUGCUUAGCAUGUGUGAGGCACUGGGUUCAAUUGUCAGCACCA